ACGGAAGGCAGCAGUGGGGAAUAUUGCACAAUGGGGGAAACCCUGAUGCAGCGACGCCGCGUGAGCGAAGAAGUAUUUCGGUAUGUAAAGCUCUAUCAGCAGGGAAGAAAAUGACGGUACCUGACUAAGAAGCCCCGGCUAACUACGUGCCAGCAGCCGCGGUAAUACGUAGGGGGCAAGCGUUAUCCGGAUUUACUGGGUGUAAAGGGAGCGUAGACGGCAAGGUAAGUCUGAAGUGAAAUGCCGGGGCUCAACCCCGGAACUGCUUUGGAAACUAUCUCGCUCGAGGACCGGAGGGGUAAGCGGAAUUCCUAGUGUAGCGGUGAAAUGCGUAGAUAUUAGGAGGAACACCAGUGGCGAAGGCGGCUUACUGGACGGUAACUGACGUUGAGGCUCGAAAGCGUGGGGAGCAAACAGGAUUAGAUACCCUGGUA
rnacentral:rRNA from 1 species